rnacentral:rRNA from 1 species
GAUGAACGCUGGCGGCGUGCCUAAUACAUGCAAGUCGAGCGAACGGACGAGAAGCUUGCUUCUCUGAUGUUAGCGGCGGACGGGUGAGUAACACGUGGAUAACCUACCUAUAAGACUGGGAUAACUUCGGGAAACCGGAGCUAAUACCGGAUGAUAUUUUGAACCGCAUGGUUCAAAAGUGAAAGACGGUUUUGCUGUCACUUAUAGAUGGAUCCGCGCUGCAUUAGCUAGUUGGUAAGGUAACGGCUUACCAAGGAAACGAUGCAUAGCCAACCUGAGAGGGUGGUCGGCCACACUGGAACUGAGACACGGUCCAGACUCCUACGGGAGGCAGCAGUAGGGAAUCUUCCGCAAUGGGCGAAAGCCUGACGGAGCAACGCCGCGUGAGUGAUGAAGGUCUUCGGAUCGUAAAACUCUGUUAUUAGGGAAGAACAUAUGUGUAAGUAACUGUGCACAUCUUGACGGUACCUAAUCAGAAAGCCACGGCUAACUACGUG